rnacentral:rRNA from 1 species
AGUGAACGCUGGCGGUAGGCCUAACACAUGCAAGUCGAACGGCAGCACAGUAAGAGCUUGCUCUUACGGGUGGCGAGUGGCGGACGGGUGAGGAAUACAUCGGAAUCUACUUUUUCGUGGGGGAUAACGUAGGGAAACUUACGCUAAUACCGCAUACGACCUACGGGUGAAAGCAGUGGUUCUUCGGACCUUGCGCGAUUGAAUGAGCCGAUGCCGGAUUAGCUAGUUGGCGGGGUAAAGGCCCACCAAGGCGACGAUCCGUAGCUGGUCUGAGAGGAUGAUCGGCCACACUGGAACUGAGACACGGUCCAGACUCCUACGGGAGGCAGCAGUGGGGAAUAUUGGACAAUGGGCGCAAGCCUGAUCCAGCCAUACCGCGUGAGUGAAGAAGGCCUUCGGGUUGUAAAGCCCUUUUGUUGGGAAAGAAAAGCAGCGGGUUAAUACCCGGCUGUUCUGACGGUACCCAAAGAGUAAGCACCGGCUAACUACGUG